AUCAUGGUGUCUUUAGACACCACUAAUAUUUUCUAAAGUUAUUCCU
rfam:Picea glauca, whole genome shotgun sequence.